rnacentral:lncRNA from 10 species
AGAGAAAGUCUCCUGCAUCUUGUGCUCCCUUACCACUUUUUGCUUAAUAGAUUUUGUUGUUUCAAAUUCUAAAAGGAAGGAAAUUAAUUCUUAACCAAAUGAUAUUUCUCAAACAGGGUCAGUGCCCUCUCUUGGGGUGCAAAUCCUAUGUAUCUUAUUCCAACGAGUAACUCUGUAGUUAAUCAUUGAUACGGCAAGUUCAGGCUUUUGCUCUUCCUCUUUGAACAUCAGUGGGUGCAUUUUAUUUCUCUCUCUUGCUCUCUCUCUCUUUUUUUUUGUUUUUUUUAAAGCAGGAUUAAGGAAGCCAAACUCUCAGCCUCAUGAAGAAAGAGCUCAUUUAUUGCAACUAAAAUAUCUUUUCUUGGAAGGCCAUGACCUCAGAAAAGUGAUGGUAUCAGAAGGUGAAGACUUAGGGAGGUGAUUAGGUCAUGGGCGCAGAUCCACAUGAAUGGGAUUAGUGCCUUUAUAAGUCACUCAAGAGAAAGCCCUCGCCUCUUCUGCCAUGUGAGGACACAGUGAGAACGUACCAAUUAUGAACCAGAAAACAGACCCUCAGCAGACAUGGAAUUUGCUGGUGCCUUCAUCUUGGACUUCCCAGAUUUCAGAAUGGUGAGAAAUAAAUUUUUGUUUUUUAUAAG